rnacentral:lncRNA from 1 species
UUUGAGGUCUUUGCCUUUGCUGAAUUUUCUUUCUCUCAAUAAUUUGGGCAAAUCAACACCAAUUGCUAAAUCAAGUCACAUUAAGUUCAUUCACACAAUUUUUUAAUUUAUUCUCAUCAAUUGAGGGUCAUCAAUAUAUUUUUCACCAUGUAAAGCUCAAAGAUUCAAUUCAAAAGGCAAUUCUCAAACAUGAAUAUAACUCACUGCAAUUGAUUCAACAUAAGUUUAAAGAGUCAUAACAUCAAUGGGGUCAUGGAAAGAAAAGCUCAUCCAACAUAGUCUAUAUGAUGAGUAAAGCAUCUCAAAAACGGAAAUAAAAAAUAAAAAAAAUUGUGGCUAUCUGUGUGUUAUUGAAAGCAAAAAUGAAAAAUUUCAACUAAUGCAAGCAAACUAAAAAUCAAAGCAAAAAUAAACUCAAAAAGUAAAAAUUCAGAAAUAUGCACCCCCACACCUAAAUCAUGCAUUGUCCUCAAUGUAUAGGAAAUAUUAAAAUGCAAAACAAACUGAGUACUCC